UAACAAGCUGCAGCCGAGAGUGUGUGUGUGUGUGCGUGUGACGUAGUAGAGAGCAAUUUAUGGCAUUUUGGCAAAAAACUACGAGCAAAACACACAAACCGAGCGAAUCGCACGAUGUAAACAAAACAAGCAAAGAUUCGCGGGGGAGAGAAGGAAAACAGAAAUUCAAAAACCGCCGUGCGAUUUGCAAGUCAACAGAUUUCAAUGAAAAAAUAUCAAAACAGUCACGAACCGAAUUCGCAUUUUUUUCGCUCUUUUGGCACCGCCAGCAAGUCAGGCACACACACACGCACACCGGUCUAGCUUGCAGAUGGCGAAGGUGAAUACACUGCAACCAGCGAGAGAAAAGAGGGAGAGAUUGCCACAGAGAGAGUCUUCGGCGGAGAGAGCGAGAGCAAGGGACAGCCGGCGAAAUAAAAAUAUUAUUUUUUUUACACUCAUAAAAAAUUAAUUUCCAACCUGUGAAUUAUGAUGAUUUUUAGAAUAUAUAUAGGUACAACUCUCUUGACUUAAA